rnacentral:rRNA from 1 species
AACGAACGCUGGCGGCAGGCUUAACACAUGCAAGUCGAGCGCCCCGCAAGGGGAGCGGCAGACGGGUGAGUAACGCGUGGGAAUCUACCCAUCUCUACGGAAUAACGCAUGGAAACGUGUGCUAAUACCGUAUACGUCCUUCGGGAGAAAGAUUUAUCGGAGAUGGAUGAGCCCGCGUUGGAUUAGCUAGUUGGUGGGGUAAAGGCCUACCAAGGCGACGAUCCAUAGCUGGUCUGAGAGGAUGAUCAGCCACACUGGGACUACGACACGGCCCAGACUCCUACGGGAGGCAGCAGUGGGGAAUAUUGGACAAUGGGCGCAAGCCUGAUCCAGCCAUGCCGCGUGAGUGAUGAAGGCCCUAGGGUUGUAAAGCUCUUUCACCGGUGAAGAUAAUGACGGUAACCGGAGAAGAAGCCCCGGCUAACUUCGUGCCAGCAGCCGCCGUAAUAC